UUACUUACACUCCCCAAGCAAGAUGAGAUCAUUUCACUGAGUGUGCUUUCUUCCGUCAUAGCAAGGCCCACGUCAUCGGGGCCUGAGUCUCCAGGGGAUGUCACAAUUGCCAGCUUGUCUGGUCCAUUGUGCAGCAAUAGAGUCAUCAGGUUUUUGCAGGUCCCCAGGAUGGGGACAAGGGGCCCAUUCUAGCUUUAUCCUACCAGGUCCUUGCCUCCUCAGAUCUGGGAAUGCACAUCUGCAAAGAGGAUUGAAGUCCACACAGAAAGGGGACAUGGGGACAGUAGUUCUCCAAGAACUUUGUCCAAAGGGUUUCUUUCCCUGUCAGUUUCUUUCCCACUGCUAAAUGUAGUCCCAAAAUACUAUUGGAAAAUACCAAAAAUGGUUCACAGCUUUUAAAUCAUGAACCAUUCUGCGUAUCUUGCACUAUACUGCUUUGUCCCUCUGGGAUGUGACUCAUCUCUCUGUGCAGUGACUUCACACUUGUCUGGAGUCACUUAGCAGCCUUCUGGUCGUCACCCUGAUGAUGUCUUAUGCUUGUGUCCAGUAUCACCGACUUUACUUAGUAAUGGCUCCACGGUAACACAAAGGAGAUGUUAGAUGCUUUUCUCCAGUAGAGUCUUGUGAUGGUUCUAUUUUUAUCAUCAGUUAGUGUUAGUAUUUUACUUUUUCUGAUUUAUAAUUUUUAUCAAAGGUAUAGGUACAGGGAGAACAUGGCAUAUAUAGGACUUGGUGCAAUCUGUGGUUUCAGAUGCCCAUGAGUUGGAACACCCCUUGAUUAUGGUGAACUCUGAGUGGUAAAAUUGGCACCCACCCCCAUAGAUGUCAGCACUUAGGGGAAAUUUUGUGCCUCAGAUGCAGAACAGUCCACUUACAAACCUUUUCUGUUGAAAAGGACCAUAUCAUUGCAGAAAAAAUGAACUUCCAAUUAGUCAGCACAUUUCAAAAUGGGGUGGGAUUGGUGGUAGAACAGACAUAGGAGGGAAGGGAAGAAAGGACAGGGAGGGGAGAAAAAGUAAUACUGCUCUCAUUGUUAUGGCUGCCUUACCAAAGGAGGGUAGAUUCUGACUCCUGGUGAUGACAGACAGCCCACCUGUGGAGGAAGGCGUGGCCACAGGAGUGUAAGCCCUAGGGGUGGUGCCAUGUGCAUUCAGGUGGGUCUACCCUUACAAAACACCUGUAUCUGUAAUAUCUGGGUAUUUCUCCUUCCUUCCUUCCUUCCUUCCUUCCCAUAUGUGUGUGUGUGGCGUGUAUGUGUACAUAGGUACCCAUGUGUACAUGUGCAUGUGUAGGUCCAAAAUUCACAUCAGAUAUCUUUCUUUCCACUUUACUUAUUGUAGUAUAACUAAAUCUUGUUCUUGCAUUGGUCUUGCCUUGUUGUUAUUUUUCCAUUCCCCCCUUCUAGAAUUGGACUGACCUGUAUCUUACACACUGUAAGUAUACAACUUGGCUUUUUUAUUCUAUAAGAACUCACCAUUAAAAAAUUUCUUUGGGUACUGGAAAACACUUUGAAAUGUGAGAUCUUGAGCAAUGUCAGAAUUGUUAAGACUUUAGGAACUCUUGUGGAUGCACUAAAUAUGUUCUGCCUUUUGAGAUAGACAUGACACUUUUGGGGCCAGGGGUAGAAGGUUAUGAUUUAAAGUGGUUGUGUUUAGUUGUCAAGUUAACAUAGGAUAGAUUUAUGGUGGUUAAUUUUUUAAUCAUCAAUCAUGCAAGUGUGAUAGUCAAGGUUCAAAUCCUCAGAGCCUACAUAUAAAACCACGCAGGCAUGGCAGCCAGCUGUACCCAGCACCUGUGUACACAUAAACGUGCACACAUGCAUACAAACACCAACCCUGUAGCUCCAUGUCUAGCACACAAACACCAACCCUGUAGUUCCAGUCUAGCAUCUAGGGAUAUUAUUGACAUUCUCAGGGCUCUAAUGGUCUUGGGUCUCACUCUCACUCUCCCUCCCCCUCCUCCUCCUUCCCUCUCCCCCCCACACUUCACUCAUGUCUGAAGCUUCCCUAAAUGGAUGUUUCUUGGUCUAAUACUCUGUUCUCCGAUUUAGGCUUCAUCUUCAUCUUAGCAAUUGGCUCCUCUUCCCAGACUACCAUUUACUGACUUGCAAAGGAAGCCUCCAAUUCCUCAGAUAAAUAAACUGCUUUUAACUGAA